rnacentral:rRNA from 1 species
UACGAAGGGGGCUAGCGUUGUUCGGAAUUACUGGGCGUAAAGCGCGUGUAGGCGGGUCUUUAAGUCAGGGGUGAAAUGCCAAGGCUCAACCUUGGAACUGCCUUUGAUACUGGAGACCUUGAGUCCGGGAGAGGUGAGUGGAAUUGCGAGUGUAGAGGUGAAAAUUCGUAGAUAUUCGCAAGAACACCAGUGGCGAAGGCGGCUCUCUGGGACGGUACUGACGCUGAGACGCGAAAGCGUGGGAGCGAACGAGG